UUUGAAAUUCAGCUUGUCUGACUCAAAAGAAAACUAGGAAAGAUAGGAUUAAUAGUACAUGCAGAACUUGCCAAACUGACUUGCCACUUGCCACCAUUUCACCCUCUCGUUGAGCUCAUCCUCAACACAUGUCAAUCAAGCUGGGUUCUGCAUCAACAGCCAACUAAGUUCUGCAUGGGUUGUUAUGACACCACAUUUAUGUGUUGUGUCAUGGAAGAGGCUACCUUACUGUUCAAAUCUCCGGUCAGCAAUUUAUGAGAACCAUUAAAUAUUGAUCCAACAUAAAAAGAAAUCAGACAAAAUGAAUUCCAAAACUUGUAUAUUCUUCGGCUUUCACCUUGCAGUUGUUCUUCUCAUCUCUUCGGCUGUAGUGGCAGAGACAUCCAACGAUGUGAACAAACGUACCCCGAAUAUGCUAUAUCUAAAUUGUUGCAAAUCACCAAGACAUAUGCAAGAGCAGCUGCCCAACAGGAAUGUUUAUGCUUGCAGAGGUAACGAAAGUUGGAGCAAUUGCUCAUCCAACCCACUGACCUGAAAGCAACAUACAAACAAUGGAGUAGAGUGAUUGUGAAGAGCAACCAGCUAGUGCAACGUUGAUGACCAAGUAGAAAUGGAACAUUUGGCAACUAUAAGAUCAGCCAAGAACAAUUAGUAAAAAAUAUCAGAGCAAAAAACAAAAGAGAAAUAUAUCAAAACAGAUUAUAGCUUGAUAUAUGUAUGGUAAAAAAAGUAAUAUAGUUUUAAUUUUAAGAGCAACAAAUAACAUGCAAAUGUUUUGUAGGACCUUGAAAGCAAAUAACAUUAGUUUAAGACAUUUUGGUAACAUAACCAAAAGUUAAAACCU